UAUACUCCCUUGAAGAGCAAUUCAGUCAUUGUCGCUGAUCAUUAUGUCAUUAAUGCUGCUUGGAUAACCUGCCCUUAACUCAAGAGUGGUGAAAACAGGUUCUUUAUACCAGUGCAACUUGAUUUCCUUUUUUUUUUUUUCUUGCUGCCUAAGAUAUAUGUUGCGGCUUGUGAUUCAAAUGCCAUGGUACAUUAGAAAACCUCACGUCACCGCUUGCUGAAAUAAGUACCUGGAUGCAUUCAUAAGUAAGAUCUUGUGUUAUUCGCUGAAGCUUUUCAGCUAGUCUAUAUGACAUGCAAAUAGUCAAUCAAUCUAAAUACUCUAUUAUGAAGCCUUUUGGAAAUGAUCUCACGAUUCUAGAGACUUCAGAGAAGGAAGUGAGCAGCUUGGUUUUUGUACUAAAAAGCAGGAUGGAUGUAGUGACUAGUGAUUUCAAGCUUUUUUCACAUGCUUAAUGCAUAUCAUUUCUUGGGUUCUAGUAAUAGCAAUUCUAUAAAAAAAAAUAAAAAAUCCUUGCAGUUAAUACAGGAAAUUUUGUCAUCCUCGUUCCCAACAA